AGUUGGUGGAGUGAUUUGUCUGGUUAAUUCCGAUAACGAACGAGACUCUGUCCUGCUAAAUAGAUUCAACCUUUCUUUUGGGUUGGAAUUUCUUCUUAGAGGGACUGGCGAUUAUUAGUCGCACGAGAUUGAGCAAUAACAGGU
rnacentral:rRNA from 1 species